rnacentral:rRNA from 1 species
GCAAGUCGAGCGAGAAAGCCUUCGGGUGGUGGACAGUGGCGCACGGGUGAGUAACACGUGGGGACCUGCCUGAUAGUAAGGGACAACAGUUUGAAAAGACUGCUAAUACCUUAUACGCCCUUUUGGGGAAAGAUUUAUCGCUAUCAGAUGGACCCGCGCUAGAUUAGAUAGUUGGUGAGGUAAUGGCUCACCAAGUCUACGAUCUAUAGCUGGUUUGAGAAGAUGAUC